rnacentral:misc_RNA from 1 species
GAUGAAGAACGUAGCGAAAUGCGAUAAGUAAUGCGAAUUGCAGAAUUCAGUGAGUCAUCGAAUCUUUGAACGCACAUUGCGCCCUGUGGUAUUCCGCAGGGCAUGCCUGUUCGAGCGUCAUUUCAACCCUCAAGCCUCGCUUGGUGUUGGGCCCUGCCCGCCGCGGCCGGCCCUAAAGAUAGUGGCGGCGCCGCCUGGCCCUCAGCGUAGUACAGCUCUCGCUCCAGGGUCCGGCGGCAGCCUGCCAGAACCCCCCAACUCUGUGGUUGACCUCGGAUCAGGUAGGGAUACCCGCUGAACUUAAGCAUAUCAAUAAGCGGAGAA